UCUUAGAGGAAGGAGCUUUCUUUAGUCCAGUGCAAGAUGGGUUUUGGCUGAUAUCAGCUGCUGACUCGCUGGUUCAUGAACUCAUCAAACUAUUGGGAUCAGAUGCGUUUUUGAUCCAUCGAUGCGGGAGCUGGGUUCGGUUAUGGCCGUCUCGCCUUGGACUGAAGGGAGCUCCCUUCUGUUCUACG
rnacentral:pre_miRNA from 1 species